rnacentral:SRP_RNA from 1 species
GCUAGGCGCGGUGGUGCAUGCCUGUAGUCCCAGCUACUAGUGAGGGUGAAGUGGGAGGAUCGCUUGAGCCCAGGAGUUCUGUGCUAUAGGGUGUUAUGCCGAUCGGGUGUCUGCACUAAGUUUGGCAUCAAUAUGGUGACCUCCCGGGAGCAGGGGACCACCAGGUUGCCUAAGGAGGGGUGAACCGGCCCAGGUCAGAAGUGGAGCAGAUCAAAACACCCAUGCUGAUCAGUAGUGGGAUUAUGCCUGUGAAUAGCCACUGCACUCCAGCCUGGGCAACAUAGCGAGACCCUGUCUCU